AACGUAGGAGACAAGCGCUGUCCGGAGUUACUGGGCGUAAAGCGCACGCAGGUGGGUCGAUAAGUGUGGCGUGAAAGCACCCGGCUAAACUGGGGGAGUACGAAACAGACUGUCGGUCUGGAGGGUGAUAGAAGGACGCGGAAUUCGGGGUGUAGCGGUGAAAUGUGUAGAGAUCCCGAGGAACACCAGUGGUGAAAACGGCGUCCUGGGUCAUACCUGACACUGAGGUGCGAAAGCUUUGGGAGCGAACGGG
rnacentral:rRNA from 1 species